AUUGAACGCUUGCGGCGUGCUUAACACAUGCAAGUCGAUCGGUAACAGGUGUAGCAAUACAUGCUGACGAGAGGCGGACGGGUGAGUAAUGCUUGGGAAUCUGCCUAUUAGUGGGGGACAACCCGGGGAAACUCGGGCUAAUACCGCAUACGCUCUACGGAGGAAAGCCGGGGACCGCAAGGCCUGGCGCUAAUAGAUGAGCCCAAGUCGGAUUAGCUAGUUGGUAGGGUAACGGCCUACCAAGGCGACAAUCCGUAGCUGGUCUGAGAGGACGACCAGCCACACCGGAACUGAGACACGGUCCGGACUCCUACGGGAGGCAGCAGUGGGGAAUAUUGGACAAUGGGGGCAACCCUGAUCCAGCGACGCCGCGUGGGUGAAGAAGGCCUGCGGGUUGUAAAGCCCUUUCGGUGGGGAAGAAAAGUCUCGACCUAAUACGUCGGGACCUUGACGUAACCCACUAAAGAGCACCGGCUAACUCUGUGCCAGCAGCCGCUGUAA
rnacentral:rRNA from 1 species